rnacentral:rRNA from 1 species
GACGAACGCUGGCGGCGUGCUUAACACAUGCAAGUCGAACGGUGAAAGCGGAGCUUGCUCCGCUGGAUCAGUGGCGAACGGGUGAGUAACACGUGGGCAACCUGCCCCUCACUCCGGGAUAACUCCGGGAAACCGGGGCUAAUACCGGAAACGACCUCCUUGGGCAUCCUUGGAGGUGGACAGUUUUUCGGUGAGGGAUGGGCCCGCGGCCUAUCAGCUUGUUGGUGAGGUAGUGGCGCACCAAGCCGACGACGGUUAGCCGGCCGGAGGGGGCGACCGGCCACACUGGGACUGAGACACGGCCCAGACUCCUACGGGAGGCAGCAGUGGGGAAUAUUGCGCAAUGGGCGAAAGCCUGACGCAGCAACGCCGCGUGCGGGAUGAAGGCCUUCGGGUUGUAAACCGCUUUCAGCAGGGAAGAGGCCGCAAGGUGACGGUACCUGCAGAAGAAGCACCGGCUAACUACGUGCCAGCAGCCGCCGUAA